GUCUUCUGACUGUGCGAAGGUAGCAUAGUAAUUUGUCUCCUAAUUAGAGGCUUGUAUGAAUGGUUGGACGAGAAAUGAUCUGUCUCUAUUUUAUUACUUGAACUUUACUUUUAAGUGAAAAGGCUUAAAUAUAUUUUAAAGACGAUAAGACCCUAUAAAUCUUUAUAUUAUAUUAUAUUGGGGCGAUAAAUAUAUAAAAUUCAUUUAACUAUUUUUACAUAAAUACAAUAAUAUUUGAUUUUAACAAUAAUAGAUCCUUUAUUAAGAUUCCUAGAUUAAGUUACUUUAGGGAUAACAGCGUUAUUUUUUUUAAGAGUCCUUAUCGAAAAAAAAGUUUGCGACCUCGA
rnacentral:rRNA from 1 species